CUCUUUAAGAACAGCCCACUUUAUAACAUUGCCCUGGGAUGAAGAGCAUCUGGCUGCAAUGGCGGAUACCUCUUGGGCUGUAAGAACUCUGUCCCACAUGUUAACACUCGUCAAGUUACCCUGGAAAGACUGAUCACAGACACAGCGUACGAGAUGGACGUAGCUCCUAUAAAUGCUUCAGACCAUUCGAGAAAACUUCAAAUGGAUGGAAUGGUUGUGUAAGACUGUGUGCAUUCCUAUGCAGGGAGACGAGUGAUGUCUUUAUGUGUAGAUAUAAACGACACACUUGAUACGUAUAGUUAAUGUGUGUACGAUGUAUUUAAUAGAUGUUUGUGUUUAUCAGCGGUUUGUCUUUGUGUGGAUAUUGAUACCUCCAGCAUAUGGUGGUUGUGUAGGAUGUAUGUGAUAGGAGUUUGAGUUCAUAGGGACGUUUUUGUUUGAAUAUUAAUCAAUCGCGUCCAGAAUCACGUGGUCGUAGAAUACAGUAAAUGUGUAAGUUUACAACAUGUUUUAUUGCGAACAUCUUUUGUAACUAGUGUAACAGCCAAAGAAUUGGCAAUGAAUUCUACACCAUAGUCAAAAUCAAAAUAUUCCUCCACUGAAGAGAAAAGAAAAGAAUGGCUAUUACAUUAUGCCAUUUUUAGUCGUUCAGUCUCAGUUGCAACUAUGAUUGCUAGACAUUAAUUUUAAAAUGAGGCCCGCUAAAAUGCAUUAACUUUAUGAAGGAACUGGCUGAUUGAACACAUUCCGGCAAUUGGAACCCCCCCCCCCCC